rnacentral:lncRNA from 1 species
GCCUUGUGCAGUGUGGUCAUCAGUUUGUACCCUCGCUGUGUCUGAUGCUCCAGAUGGUAUGUUCAGCCAUGAAGAUGGGGCGUGAUUCCUGUGGUGUGCUGAGUUCACCAGGUGAUCUGAAAACAGAGCCCUUCUCAUGGAGAUGGCGCAGAAUGGAGACACCAUACGAGGCCUUGGACCGUUUUCCUCCGGGAUUGAGCAUCCUUUUCACCGUGACUUAUAAAGGCUCUUUGAAAACUGAAGAAGCUCGACACUAUGCCUUUCUAGUUUAUAGAUACAACAUUCUAGUUUGUCAUUACUCUUUAGACUCUGUCGCAUUCUCCCAUGCAGCUUUUGAAAGACUAGAUGAACAAAUACAUUGAUUAUAUUUUUAUGA